GACGAACGCUGGCGGCGUGCUUAACACAUGCAAGUCGAGCGAUGAAGCUCCUUCGGGAGUGGAUUAGCGGCGGACGGGUGAGUAACACGUGGGUAACCUGCCUCAUAGAGGGGAAUAGCCUUCCGAAAGGAAGAUUAAUACCGCAUAAGAUUGUAGUACCGCAUGGUAUAGCAAUUAAAGGAGUAAUCCGCUAUGAGAUGGACACGCGUCGCAUUAGCUAGUUGGUGAGGUAACGGCUCACCAAGGCGACGAUGCGUAGCCGACCUGAGAGGGUGAUGGGCCAAAGUGGGACUGAGAAACGGCCCAGAAUCCUACGGGAGGCAGACGUGGGGAAUAUUGCACAAUGGGGGAACCCCUGGUGAAGCAACGCCGCGUGAGGGAUGACGGUCUUCGGAUUGUAAAACUCUGUCUUCAGGGACGAUAAUGACGGUACCUGAGGAGGAAGCCACGGCUGACUACGUGCCAGCCGCCGCCGUAA
rnacentral:rRNA from 1 species